rnacentral:rRNA from 1 species
GAUGAACGCUAGCGGCAGGCCUAGCACAUGCAAGUCGAGGGGUAGAAGUUGCUUGCAACUUUGAGACCGGCGCACGGGUGCGUAACGCGUAUGCAAUCUGCCUUGUACUGAGGGAUAGCCCAGAGAAAUUCGGAUUAAUACCUCAUAGCAUUAUGAUGUGGCAUCACAUUAUAAUUAAAGUUCCAACGGUACAAGAUGAGCAUGCGUCCCAUUAGUUAGUUGGUAAGGUAACGGCUUACCAAGACGAUGAUGGGUAGGGGUCCUGAGAGGGGGAUCCCCCACACUGGAACUGAGACACGGACCAGACUCCUACGGGAGGCAGCAGUGAGGAAUAUUGGUCAAUGGGCGCAAGCCUGAACCAGCCAUGCCGCGUGCAGGAUGACGCAUCUAUGGUGUGUAAACUGCUUUUGUACAGGAAGAAACACUCCCUCGUGAGGGAGCUUGACGGUACUGUAAGAAUAAGGAUCGGCUAACUCCGUGCCAGCAGCCGCCGUAA